AGAUCUGCUUCACUACAUGGAACCCCAGAGUUCAUUAAUGUUGGAGAUUUUUGGAAAUUAAUUUCUCAGUAAUGUGUCUUAAGUUACAAAACAUGAAGUGUCUUACUUGUGGAACAUUGGUAGACUAUGAUGAAGAAAACAAUUAUAAUCUUUUUUUGGUUUUAAUAAUAAUUCCAAAUCAUUUUAAAUUAAUAAUAAUUAA